rnacentral:rRNA from 1 species
GAGUUUGAUCCUGGCUCAGAAUGAACGCUGGCGGCAUGCCUAACACAUGCAAGUCGAACGAGAUCUUCGGAUCUAGUGGCGCACGGGUGAGUAACGCGUGGGAACCUACCUUUUAGUACGGGACAACGUUUGGAAACGAACGCUAAUACCGUAUACGCCCUCCGGGGGAAAGGUCAGCCGCUAAAAGAGGGGCCCGCGUCUGAUUAGCUUGUUGGUAAGGUAAUGGCUUACCAAGGCUACGAUCAGUAGCUGGUCUGAGAGGAUGAUCAGCCACACUGGGACUGAGACACGGCCCAGACUCCUACGGGAGGCAGCAGUGGGGAAUAUUGGACAAUGGAGGCGACUCUGAUCCAGCAAUGCCGCGUGUGUGAUGAAGGCCUUAGGGUUGUAAAGCACUUUCAACGGUGAAGAUGAUGACGGUAGCCGUAGAAGAAGCCCCGGCUAACUUCGUGCCAGCAGCCGCGGUAAUACGAAGGCGGCGAGCGUUAUUCGGAAUUAUUGGGCGUAAAGGGCUCGCAGGCUGCUUGAACAGUUAGACGUGAAAUCCCCGGGCUCAACCUGGGAACUGCGUUUAAUACUAGCAAGCUAGAGAAAUAGAGAGGAAAGUGGAACUCCCAGUGUAGAGGUGAAAUUCGUAGAUAUUGGGAAGAACACCAGUGGCGAAAGCGACUUUCUGGCUAUUUUCUGACGCUGAGGAGCGAAAGCGUGGGGAGCAAACAGGAUUAGAUACCCUGGUAGUCCACGCCGUAAACGAUGUGUGCUAGAUGUUGGAGGGAUACCUUUCAGUGUCGCAGCUAACGCACUAAGCACACCGCCUGGGAAGUACGGUCGCAAGAUUAAAACUCAAAGGGAUUGACGGGGGCCCGCACAAGCGGUGGAGCAUGUGGUUUAAUUCGACGCAACGCGCAGAGCCUUACCAGCCCUUGACAUGUGGAGUUUGGUUAUCAGAGAUGAUUUCCUUCAGUUCGGCUGGCUCCAACACAGGUGCUGCAUGGCUGUCGCCAGCUCGUGUCGUGAGAUGUUGGGUUAAGUCCCGCAACGAGCGCAACCCUCAUCUUUAGUUGCCAUCAGUUCGGCUGGGCACUCUAGAGAAACUGCCUGGGAUGACCAGGAGGAAGGCGAGGAUGACGUCAAGUCCUCAUGGCCCUUAUGGGCUGGGCUACACACGUGCUACAAUGGCGGUGACAAAGGGACGCAAUAGGGCAACCUGGAGCAAAUCCCUAAAAGCCGUCUCAGUUCGGAUUGUUCUCUGCAACUCGAGAGCAUGAAGUUGGAAUCGCUAGUAAUCGUAGAUCAGCAUGCUACGGUGAAUACGUUCCCGGGCCUUGUACUCACCGCCCGUC